UUCUCUUCCACGAUUUCCUUUUCCCCUCUGUCGGUCCCCAUUGCGUCGAUCGCCGGCCACUAGGCUUCGACACCGACGGCUUUCCCCUUACGCUACCGCCUCCUCUCCUUUCUUCCUCACUAUGGUCGCGUCUUUGUCGCCACCCGAUCGCUCGCCCUCUACUUUCUCUCUCUACAUCGCCUUUGCCCUACAUUGCCGAUGCCGCCCGACGCCGUGCCGCCCGAUGGAAGCUGAGCCACAACAUCACUAAUUCCAGUUGCUUUGCUGUUGUAGGAAGGGAGGAGCUACCACCUCUUUCAGCGAAUGCUUGAGUUCGAUUGUCGGCAGAUUUGCACCUAGGGCAUCGUCACCUUCUCUGCUCGUGUUGUUCCCAGCUGAUCGACCACCGACGCUCUUUGUCGAUGUAUUCUUGGAGUACCGACCCGUACCACCACCGGGAGGCGACCAACUGAGCUGAGGCAUUCAAACAGCGGGUUGUUGAAAUCUCGCUGAGCAGAUCCCUGAUCUCUUCGGGGCUUAUUUCUGUGAGGGAUCCAAGUUCGAGAAGGGGGUUGAUUAGGAUCUUUACCACAGCAAACAGGCAUCCUUGAGGUGGUUAGGUUAUUGGAUGGAUACAUCAUUUCUGGAGAAGGGGCUAAGUUUUGUGCUAUUGAGAAUUUUUGAUUUAAGACAAGCGUCUCGAUGUGGGAUUGUUUAGCACGAUCGACAGAUAAAGGCGGGUACUACUUGUUUUGUCUUUUUAGUACAUUGAUCUUAAUGCUUGAACUAUAUAUUCGGAUAGUUACUGUGUUUAUCUUGACACCA